rnacentral:rRNA from 1 species
CCCUACGGGGGGCAGCAGUGGGGAAUCUUGCGCAAUGGGCGAAAGCCUGACGCAGCAACGCCGCGUGUGUGAUGAAGGUCUUCGGAUCGUAAAGCACUGUCGAGAGGGACGAAUAAGGCCGGCGCUAACAUCGCCGGCUGAUGACGGUACCUCUAAAGGAAGCACCGGCUAACUCUGUGCCAGCAGCCGCGGUAAUACAGAGGGUGCAAGCGUUGUUCGGAAUUAUUGGGCGUAAAGCGCGUGUAGGCGGCUCAGCAAGUCGGAUGUGAAAGCCCUCGGCUUAACCGAGGAAGGGCGUUCGAAACUACUGAGCUUGAGUGCCGGAGAGGGUGGCGGAAUUCCCGGUGUAGAGGUGAAAUUCGUAGAUAUCGGGAGGAACACCAGCGGCGAAGGCGGCCACCUGGACGGUAACUGACGCUGAGACGCGAAAGCGUGGGGAGCAAACAGGAUUAGAUACCCCUGUAGUCCC